AUCUUGCACAAUGGGGGCAACCCUGAUGCAGCGAUGCCGCGUGAGUGAUGAAGGCCCUAGGGUUGUAAAGCUCUUUUACCAGGGAUGAUAAUGACAGUACCUGGAGAAUAAGCUCCGGCUAACUCCGUGCCAGCAGCCGCGGUAAUACGGAGGGAGCUAGCGUUGUUCGGAAAUACUGGGCGUAAAGCGCACGUAGGCGGCGCCGCAAGUCAGGGGUGAAAUCCCGGGGCUCAACCCCGGAACUGCCCUUGAAACUGCAGUGCUAGAAUCCUGGAGAGGCGAGUGGAAUUCCGAGUGUAGAGGUGAAAUUCGUAGAUAUUCGGAAGAACACCAGUGGCGAAGGCGACUCGCUGGACAGGUAUUGACGCUGAGGUGCGAAAGCGUGGGGAGCAAA
rnacentral:rRNA from 1 species